UUUCUCUUCCCUCCUUAACCCCCCCUCUCUGAAAAAUCUGUAAAAAUCAGAAUUUCUGUUGUUUGUUUAUAAUCUUUGAAGGGUUUUUGAAAUCAUGGACGGAGGUGAGGAGCUGGUGGUGGUGGUGCAGUAGGACAGUAUAUUCCAAGAACAGUGGAAGAAGUUUUUAGAGAUUUCAAAGGAAGAAGAACUGGAAUGACUAAAGCUCUUACUCAAGUGAGCAGUGGGAGGUCAAUUUACCUGCUGAAGAAGUUCCCCUGAGCUUCCAGAACCUGCGCUGGGCAUUAACUUUGCUAGAGAUAGAAUGCAAGAAAACUGGUUAGGUUUGGUUGCAGUCCAUAGCGAUGCGUGGCUUCUAGCUGUUGCAUUUUAUUUUGGUGCUAGAUUUGGAUUUGAUAAAAACGAAAGAAAAGGAAAACUUCUGCUUGUAUGGGUUUCCCAGUGAGCAGUGGAGGUCAAUUUACCUGCUCAAGAAGUCCCCCCCAGAACUCCCAGAACCAGCAUUAGGCAGCUAUGGACGGUAUGCAAGAAAAAGACUGGAUAGCUUUGGUUGCAGUGCACAGUGAUGCAUGGCUUCUUGCUGUUGCUUUCUAUUUCGGAGCCAGAAUUGGGUUCGACAAAAAUGAAAGGAACCGUUUGUUUACUCUCAUGAAUGGACUCCAACAAUCUUUGAAAUUGUUACUGGAGCUGUGAAGAACCAACAAGUUAGGGAGAAAUCUUCAGUUUCUAAUCAAAGCAGCAACAAAUCCAAGCCCGUUUCAAAAACGGUAAAAAUCUUCAGUUUCCAAUCACAGCAGCAAUCAAUCCAAGCCCAGUUCUAGGAAAUUGAAUCUUACCCUGUUGCAGGUUGCAGCUACUUAUUGUAGUUUCUGUUAAUAUCAAAUUUCAGUAAUAUUGGAGACAUUUUCGGUUUGCCGGGAAAUCCUAUUUUUUUUUUAAACCUGUUUGGAGGCAUAUUGGAUUUUUUUGAGGCAUAUUUAUUUAU